AUGGAGACCUGUAUGAAUGGCAUAACGAGGGCUUAGCUGUCUCCUCUUUCAAGUCAAUGAAAUUGAUCUCCCCGUGCAGAAGCGGGGAUAACCACAUAAGACGAGAAGACCCUAUGGAGCUUUAGACACUAAAGCAGACCAUGUUAAGCACUCCAAAACAAAGGAUUAAACCAAAUGAUCCCUGCCCUAAUGUC
rnacentral:rRNA from 1 species